rnacentral:rRNA from 1 species
GGAGGUGGCAAGCGUUGUUCGGAAUUACUGGGCGUAAAGGGCGCGCAGGCGGUUUGCCAAGUCUCGUGUGAAAUCCCCCGGCUCAACUGGGGAACUGCGCGGGAUACUAGUGGACUUGAGUUCGGGAGAGGAAAGCGGAAUUCCGGGUGUAGCGGUGAAAUGCGCAGAUAUCCGGAGGAACACCAGUGGCGAAGGCGGCUUUCUGGACCGACACUGACGCUGAGGCGCGAAAGCUAGGGGAGCGAACGGGAUUAGAUACCCCGGGUAGUCCUAGCCCUAAACGAUGAGCACUGGGUGUAGGGGGUAUGAACCCCCCCCCCCUGUGCCGAAGCUAACGCAUUAAGUGCUCCGCCUGGGGAGUACGGUCGCAAGGCUG